rnacentral:tRNA from 1 species
GCGGGUAUAGUACAGCGGUAGUAUAUCUCCUUGCCAAGGAGAAGACACGGGUCCGACUCCCGUUACCCGCU